rnacentral:lncRNA from 1 species
CGGUUUUGUUUUAAUGCGUGGCUUCCAAGACAGUACCGUCUCUUUGAGUCUUAAUUUUUCUCAUACACAAGUGGAAAAACGACACCUUUUCACAAAGUUAUUGUCUAAGGGGCUUGGAUACUAGCCACAGAAGAAGAAGCUUCUUGAUGGUGACUGGGCCAGACACUGAGCUGAGUACAGGUCUGAUGUAGCUACUGAGGAAUCCCAGAUGGGAUGUGACGAGCUGCUUCAAGCUCCUGCUGCCGCCUUUGAUGGAAUGACUGUACCUUGGACUGUGAGCUAGAUAAAUCUUCCCACCUU